GUUCUGAGUGGUCGUUAUGUAACGGUUACAUUGAGCGCCUCUCUCCAGCUGUUCUCGCAGGGUCCCGGGAACUGUCUGAAAGUUUGUUCCGAGCGGGACGAGAUUCGUGAUAGGUCUGACCCUUGGUAUUGUCGUGGCUACUUUAGGAGACGUUGGAUUGUAAACAGUGCCUACUUUUCCUAGACAGUGUUCUUAGAUGGGAUGGGGAUCUGAAGAGCGCAACGUUUUGGUAUUGGUCUUGCUUAUUAAUGGUUUGUCAAUGACCCAAGAGCUUUCACUGUUUGGGCUAAAUUAUUUUUGUUUUAGGGAAUAGUUUAAUAUCAACGUAAUGCAACUUCUCAAGUGGCAUGUCACAACGUUGUUCAUGCAUGGACCACGGCAUGGAGACAAGUUAAUUUUUAACUUCUAAGUUUCUGGAAAACUUUGUGGGGGUCAAGAGAAUCUCGAAAUGGGAGCGUGUCUCAACUUUGCCUCGUAACGUUUAACAGACUAUAGUGCCACUACCGAGGACAACAAUAUGGGCAGCGGCACAAGCAGAGGGAAGAAAGUUGCACCUGCAAAUGUCAGAGAAAUAACCGUCUUAAACCGAGAUGAUAAUAUAGUACAUUCCCUAAAUGAGGACAACCCUCUUCAACCCGUAAAAAUACCAACGUUUUCUAACUUUACCCUGUCACAAAACAUGGCAAAGCACGACUGUCACAGCGAAGGACACCACUCCGAAUUCUCAGCAGACGAGGAUGACAUAGCUGAGGAGCUGGACCGAGUUUUGUCUGAAUAUGAACGUCCAAGAGGAAUAUUUUCUAAAGGAACAAAUUCACCGAAAAAGUCAUUCAUCAGGUCUAAAACAUAUGGCUUCUGUAGACGGUUAAACCAUGAAAGAGAGUUAAAUUCGAGUCCUCACUUGCCAAGACCCGAACAGUUUGAGAAAGAAAGUCUGCCGUGCAUCAGAGCAGAAAGAGUCGACAAGAAAAACUCACUACACCAGACAGCCCCUUGCCCUGAAAGCGCUUUGAGAAGUGCUUUGUUGACUGUUGUCAGUGUCGAGUCGGGUACUGGCGCAGAUACAGCCUCCAUCUCUGAAGGUUGCCACAGCCCAUCAGUGACGAUGCCUGUCAUGCUGUACGAUGGAACAGAAGAGGAGCUGAUGGACACUAUAGAGAGGGAAUUUAGCUAGUCUUCUGCUAGCCCAGCAUCCUUCAGCCCAACAUCCUGCAGCCCAACAUCCUGCAGCCUAACAUCCUGCAGCUCAACAUCCUGCAGGCCAACAUCCUGCUGCGGCACAGCAUCUUGCAGCCCAACAUCUUGCCGCAGCCCAGCAUCCUGCAGCCUAACAUCCUGCAGCUCAACAUCCUGCAGCCCAACAUCCUGCAGCCUAACAUCCUGCAGCUCAACAUCCUGCAGCCCAACAUCCUGCAGCCUAACAUCCUGCAGCUCAACAUCCUGCAGCCCAACAUCCUGCAGCCCAACAUCCUGCAGCUCAACAUCCUGCAGUUACUGUGACUUAAUUACUGUGUUGGCUAAGAAGUGGGGCAGCAGGGUAACCUGCACUCCUCAACCAGACACAUGGAUGUUUAUUACAUGAGCCUCCGCUCUUAGACAUCCUACGAUAAGGUGUCACCCUCUGAAUCAAGUCACUUCCCCCGAGGAAUAAUUAAUGGUUAACACAGUGAUAACUAUUUAACACUUCAGCAGGGGAGGAUAUCUGUUAAUGGAUAAUAGACAGAGCCUUUUGGUGUGCCGUUACAUAUUUUAUAUACGUUUAUAACUUCAGCAUCAAGUAUUCCUUGCGUUUAAAAGUGGUGGAUGGUUAAACUGGUAUGGUCUGACCAUAAAUAUAUGAGCUACACUUAUUUUGCUAGUCAUCAGUUUUUCAGCAAGUUGUAAGUCCGGCCCUCUCUUCAACUGCUCUGGAGAGGUAUGUGCAGGGAUUGUGCGUUUAAGGUUCAUUUCCUGACCACAGUCCCUGUGGUCUCCCCACCCUUCCGUAGAAGGAUGUUGGUGUAUGUUUGUGGAGAGGGUUUAGAAGGGGCUCAGAGUGGCCCCUUCUGUGGCCGCUUGUAUUCUGCUGAUUCUAGAUGUUUCCGUGCAUAGGAUCUCACUGCCACCUAGUGGUGAGAUAUUGCAAUUGUACAAAAAAAAAGGAACAUAGCUGUGGUGUAAAAAGGUUUUUGACCCCACCCAUGGAUGCAAGCACAACAGCACACACACACACACACAUGAACUCACAAGCACAUCACAUGUUAGCCAGUUCAGGCAAGUAACAUAGACAAUCAUCCAUUCUGUCACACAAACUCCAUUAUGCCAUUGGCUAGUCCCAAGUAUUCUAUUCCAUUUGUUUACUUAAAGGUGGUUAGAUGUACAGUGCAAAUACGUGCAACAAUGUUUUGUACUUAUUUUUUAUUGUACACAAAUAAUAAAUGUUAUUCUUGUUUAAA